UGACUAGUGUGAAGGAAUGACCGGGCCCAGACGGACGCUCCCUCUACAACGUCACUAACCGACCAAUCACAGGGCAACGUUCGCUUUCCUCUUCCUCUGCUCUUUCUCUCUCUCUCUCUCUCUCUCUCUCGCCUUCCACCAGAGCAUCCCCUCCUCCUCCUCUUCUUCUUCAUACCGUGUGGUCCAAGGAGGACUUCUUGUCUUGCGGGAGCAACGUGGAGAGGAUAGAAGAAGAAGUGUGACCGCGGACGAGUGCCCAGAAUCAACUACGGAUCGGACUUCCUGUUUCCUGGACGGGCCCACACAUUUGAGAGGAGGACCUUCAGACAGCCACCAUCCCGACUCCAGAAAACGCCAGAAAAUUACCAGGCCCACUUCAAACCACCACCAGGUGAAAGGGGCUCAAGAGACAAGGCUUCUUCACGCCGUUGUGAGGUCGAAGCAUCGGCAGAUAGUCCAGUGACACAGCCUCAGCCCGACCAUCUUUACCCGUACAUGGAGACCCCCAGCUGGGCAGGCUUGAAAGUGUACUUCUACGGGUCCUGGACAUCUGUGCCCUAAUGAAGAGAGUUCAUUGACGCGCUGACAUCAUCUAAUCUGAUCGUGGGAAGUCACAUCGAUUGUGUGGAACUGCAAACAGAAACAUGAUCGUCCCGCUUUGGUUGGUUCCAUUUGAAACUGGUAACGCGUUGUGCAAGUCGGGAAGCAUCGGCGUCUUCGGGAACGUGGUGUACAGCGGACUGCUCAACGACCACCUGUGGCAUUUGGGAGUGCCGCUCUUCACGAGACUGGGUAACCAAGAGGCCGCCAACCCCGCGGACGCCAUGACCCAGCCCUACACCGCGGCCCAGUACCCCCCGCCCCCACAGAACGGUAUCCCCGCCGAGUUCGCCGCGCCUCACCCGCUCCCCACGCCCGACUACAGCGGGCAGAGCCGCGUGGCCGAGCACGCCAUGACGCUGUACACGCCCACGCCCACGCACAGUGAGCCGGCGCCGGGCACCGACAGCAGCACGCCCACCAUCGCCGCCCCCGCACCGGUCAGUGUCGCUCAGCACCUGCAAACACUCUUCUCCACAGGCCGCCAGCAACAGACGGACGACGUGACGCAAACGGACGCCUCGCAGCACUCGGACUCGUCGGAGAAGCAGCAGCCAAAACGGUUACACGUGUCCAACAUUCCCUUCCGCUUCCGGGACCCCGACCUGAGGCAGAUGUUUGGGCAAUUUGGAAAGAUCUUAGACGUGGAGAUUAUCUUUAACGAGCGAGGGUCCAAGGGCUUUGGCUUUGUAACUUUUGAAACGAGCGCAGAUGCCGACCGCGCACGGGAGAAACUAAACGGUACAAUCGUAGAGGGCCGCAAGAUCGAGGUGAACAACGCCACAGCGCGAGUGAUGACAAACAAGAAAGUGGCAAACCCGUACACGAACGGCUGGAAAUUGAACCCGGUGGUGGGCGCCGUUUACGGUCCCGAGCUGUACGCCGUAACAGGCUUCCCUUACCCCGCCACGGGCGCCGCCGUUGCCUACAGGGGCGCCCACUUGCGAGGUCGGGGGCGGGCGGUUUACAACACGUUCCGCACGGCCCCACCGCCGCCGCCCAUCCCAGCUUACGGAGCGGUGGUGUACCAAGAUGGCUUCUAUGGUGCUGAGAUCUAUGGCGGAUAUGCAGCAUACAGAUUCGCCCAGCCGGCCACCACGGCCGCCUACAGCGACAGCUACGGCAGAGUCUAUGCAACGGCCGACCCCUACCACCACACGAUCGGCCCUGCCGCCGCGUACACCGUGGGGACCAUGUAAAUACGAAACGUCGGGAAGAGGAAGUAGCGUUCGGCACGGUUGGACAGACGAGAAGAGGCGGAGCAACUUUAGCAAACAACAAGAAGUGCCACAAGAUGGGAGGGAGGUGUACAAAAUGGCGGGCGGCAUCCACAGCCGCAUCCCCCACCGGGGACCGACCGAUCGUCUUCUUUGGGGCGGCGAGGAGAAAAGACAGAAAGAAAAACAAAAGGAUGAGCGGCGUCCCGUUAUUAUAAAACAUUUUAUUUUUUUAUACUUUUGUCACGUGUGUAUAAAGGCGUAUAAAUAUAUAUAUGUACAAAUAUGUCUUUUUAUGUUUUCCGGGGAGUUCAGAACAGGCGGAGGAGGGCUAACCUGCGCCUCCUCGGCCUCCUCCUCGUCUUCCUCCUACUUUACUUCCUUCCUCCCCGUGGACGCUGUCGUGAUGUCACUUCCUGCUGGCAGCAGCCCCCACGCCCUCCCCGCUGGUUUACAGCGCCCCCUCGGCGGAUGUUCCACGGCCGAGGACUGGAAAAUCUGUCGGCAUCCGUCACCGUCGGCGGGCGCUUGGCGGCGUACGCCGGGACUUCCUGGAGGACAUCUCGACUGGCGGCGUCCUCGCGUAGUCCAAGGCCACGUCUACACGUACGCACCAGGUUCCUCGUCGGCUGCUUUCGACAGAACAUCCAUCAGUGAGCAGCUCCGCCAUCUGCCGCUCCACCGCGGCGGCCGCCCGGCCUGCUCAGCCCCGCUCGGCGCCAUCUGCAGCCCGCUUUCCCUGACGACAACACAUCACAACGCUCCGACAAGUUUUACUUGAAAUAAGGCUUUUUUUUCUUUUUU